CCCUUAGAUGUUCUGGGCCGCACGCGCGCUACACUGUUCGACGCAGCGAGUCUUAACCUUGACCGAAAGGUUUGGGUAAUCUUCAGCAAAGUCGAACGUGAUGGGGAUCGAUCAUUGCAAUUAUUGUUCGUGAACGAGGAAUUCCUAGUAAGUGCAAGUCAUCAGCUUGCGCUGAUUACGUCCCUGCCCUUUGUACACACCGCCCGUCGCUACUACCGAUUGAAUGGUUUAGUGAGAUCUCUGGAUUGACGCUGGCUAGGGGGCGACCCUUGGCCAGACUGUUGAGAAACUGCUCAAACUUGAUCAUUUAGAGGAAGUAAAAGUCGUAACA
rnacentral:rRNA from 1 species